rnacentral:rRNA from 1 species
AGGUGAACCUGCGGAAGGAUCAUUACCUAGAGUUGUAGGCUUUGCCUGCUAUCUCUUACCCAUGUCUUUUGAGUACCUUCGUUUCCUCGGCGGGUUCGCCCGCCGAUUGGACAAUUUAAACCAUUUGCAGUUGCAAUCAGCGUCUGAAAAAACAUAAUAGUUACAACUUUCAACAACGGAUCUCUUGGUUCUGGCAUCGAUGAAGAACGCAGCGAAAUGCGAUAAGUAGUGUGAAUUGCAGAAUUCAGUGAAUCAUCGAAUCUUUGAACGCACANUGCGCCCCUUGGUAUUCCAUGGGGCAUGCCUGUUCGAGCGUCACUUGUACCUUCAAGCUCUGCUUGGUGUUGGGUGUUUGUCUCGCCUCUGCGUGUAGACUCGCCUCAAAACAAUUGGCAGCCGGCGUAUUGAUUUCGGAGCGCAGUACAUCUCGCGCUUUGCACUCAGAACGACGACGUCCAAAAGUACAUUUUUACACUCUUGACCUCGGAUCAGGU